GGCUACCUGGCGCAAUGGUAGCGCGUUUGGCUUCGAUCGCCGGACGGCUAUUGCCGAAAGAUCCCGUGUUACCAAAAGGUUGCAGGUUCGAGUCCUGCGGUGGUCA
rnacentral:tRNA from 1 species